GGUAGGGUGGCCGAGAUUAAGCGGUGGAUUGUAGUCCCAUAGACAGAGGUUUAAGUCCUCUCCUUAUCA
rnacentral:tRNA from 1 species